rnacentral:rRNA from 1 species
UACGUAGGUGGCAAGCGUUGUCCGGAAUUAUUGGGCGUAAAGCGCGCGCAGGCGGUCCUUUAAGUCUGAUGUGAAAGCCCACGGCUCAACCGUGGAGGGUCAUUGGAAACUGGGGGACUUUGAGUGCAGAAGAGGAAAGCGGAAUUCCACGUGUAGCGGUGAAAUGCGUAGAGAUGUGGAGGAACACCAGUGGCGAAGGCGGCUUUCUGGUCUGUAACUGACGCUGAGGCGCGAAAGCGUGGGGAGCAAACAGG